GAUGAACGCUAGCUACAGGCUUAACACAUGCAAGUCGAGGGGUCUCGCGGGAGCUUGCUUCCAAGAGACGACCGGCGCACGGGUGAGUAACGCGUAUCCAACCUGCCCUUCAUAUUGGGAUAGCCUUCCGAAAGGAAGAUUAAUACCGAAUAACAUGAGAAAGUUGCCUGAUUCUCUCAUGAAAGCUCCGGCGAUGAAGGAUGGGGAUGCGUUCCAUUAGGUAGUAGGCGGGGUAACGGCCCACCUAGCCCACGAUGGAUAGGGGUUCUGAGAGGAAGGUCCCCCACACUGGAACUGAGACACGGUCCAGACUCCUACGGGAGGCAGCAGUGAGGAAUAUUGGUCAAUGGGCGCAAGCCUGAACCAGCCAAGUAGCGUGAAGGAUGACUGCCCUAUGGGUUGUAAACUUCUUUUAUACGGGAACAAACCUUGGUACGCGUACCAAAUUGCGUGUACCGUAUGAAUAAGCAUCGGCUAACUCCGUGCCAGCAGCAGCCGCUGUAA
rnacentral:rRNA from 1 species